GUGGGUUUGUAAGUCAGAUGUGAAAUCCCUCGGCUCAACCGGGGAACUGCGUUUGAUACUGCGGUCCUUGAGUGCAGGAGGGGAGAGUGGAAUUCCUGGUGGAGCGGUGAAAUGCGUAGAUAUCAGGAAGAACGCCGGAGGCGAAAGCGACUCUCUGGCCUGCUACUGACGCUGAGGUGCGAAAGCCAAGGGAGCGAACAGGAUUAGAUACCCUGGUAGUCUUAGCCGUAAACGAUGGGCACUAAGUAGAGGGG
rnacentral:rRNA from 1 species